CCGCAUGGCAGCAGAUGGGCCCAGAUGCGAUUAGCUAGUAGGUGGGGUAACGGCUCACCUAGGCGACGAUCCCUAGCUGGUCUGAGAGGAUGACCAGCCACACUGGAACUGAGACACGGUCCAGACUCCUACGGGAGGCAGCAGUGGGGAAUAUUGCACAAUGGGCGCAAGCCUGAUGCAGCCAUGCCGCGUGUGUGAAGAAGGCCUUCGGGUUGUAAAGCACUUUCAGCGGGGAGG
rnacentral:rRNA from 1 species